rnacentral:lncRNA from 1 species
UGAUGGCGCCUGCAGGCACUGAAUGUAAACAAGAUUAUUGCGCAGGCGCUGGGUAAUUUUCCAUUCCUUGAUCUCUGCCUAUUCCGUGGCGUCAUAUGGCCUUAUGAGCUGAAGCCAAUCAUAGGGUGACAAGUCCCAGGCGGCGGCUGCCAGCCUUUAUUAGGGGACGGGAUUCUUGGCUCGGGGUCUCCGCUCUGGUAAGCUUAUGCUCUCCUUUCAAGACGCAUUAAAGCUUUACUGCAGAAGGAUCCGAAUGUCCUGUGUGGUUCUUGCUGGCGAGGCGAUAGCGCGGGACAUCUGGUGCCGGAACCCGGGAACUUGUUAACAUAGCCGGCACUGCAGAGACCCCUCUAACGGGGCGGAUUCAGAACUGCAGGGUGGUAAGUUCGGAGAGGAUGAAGAGAAUCCCCUGUGGAUCCCGGAAAGACUCACCCGAAGAGCCCCUUCGGACCUUCAAAAGUCGGAACUCCACCCUCUCCCCGGGAGUUGAGAGCCGCUAUUAUCCAGAUUAACUCCUGUCCUUGACGGAGAGAUUGUCAUCAUGGAUCGCUUCAGCUGUCUCCUAUUUUAAGGAAUGGGUGGGGAUGGGAUUGUUUGGUGCAGCCGUUUGCUGCGGAUUGGUGUUACUUCUCUGGCUGGUCUGUAGGCUCAGGGCUCAAACUAAGAGAGACAAGGUGGUUAUCGCCCAAGCGCUUGUAGCUUUGGAACAAGGGGCUUCCACUGAUAUUUGGCUAACUAUGCUUAAGCAAUAGGCCGCCGGCCAGACAGCUCUUGCACACCCGGAGCCUAGGCUCAUUGCACAGGGUAGAGUGUCUGGUUUGAGCAGCCCAUGAGGGAUGUUGAGCAAGGCAUCGCACAGAGAGUUGCCCAGUAUGCAGGCUUCUCUGGGAGGCAUGUUGUCCUGCAUAAGGGUUGCCUGCCCUAGUCUCCCUUUCCCAGAAAAACGGCAGAGGACAGGUCGAGAGCGCUUUGGGUCAAGCUAACAGCCUGAUGGCGACUCUUGUACACAGUCUUAAUGUUUGAUUGGGAAGGUACAACCUCUGCCUCUAUCCCUCAACAUUUGGGUGACCUAUUUGCUUGUAAAAAUAUAAAGCCUUAUCAUUAAUUAAUAAAAAAAGGGGGAGAUGUAGGGAGCCGUCCCUGCAUUCUCCAUUACAAUGAUGGCGCCUGCAGGCACUGAAUGUAAAUUAUUGCGCAGGCGCUGGGUAAUUUUCCAUUUCUUGAUCUCUGCCUAUUCCGUGGCAUCAUAUGGCCUUAUGAGCUGAAGCCAAUCAUAGGGUGACAAGUCCCAGGCGGCAGCUGCCAGCCUUUAUUAGGGGACGGGAUUCUUGGCUCGGGGUCUCCGCUCUGGUAAGCUUAUGCUCUCCUUUCAAGACACAUUAAAGCUUUACUGCAGAAGGAUCCGAAUGUCCUGUGUGGUUCUUGCUGGCGAGGCGAUAGCGCGGGACAGAUACAUACUUUGACGUUUUCUGGACCUUAGCCCUCAGGGACAGCCAAUACCAACCCUGAAGACUUGGAAUUCCCCAAGCUUUUUCCUGCAUAAAACCCCUUCCCUCACUGCCCAUGAUCUCUCCUCCUCUGCUGUCAGAUGGACAGAGGGACCUCAGUUGACUUGCAAAUAAAGACUCUUAUUUUUGCAUCAGAGUCGGUCUUGUGGUGGUGAUUCAUGUUCUGGACUUUGAGUGUAACAGAUCAAAGUUCAAGACUGUCCUGGUCUACAUAGCAAGUCCCAGGACAGCCAGGGC